rnacentral:rRNA from 1 species
UACGGAGGGAGCUAGCGUUACUCGGAAUUACUGGGCGUAAAGCGUGCGUAGGUGGUUUGUUAAGUCUGAUGUGAAAGCCCUGGGCUCAACCUGGGAAUUGCAUUGGAUACUGGCAGGCUAGAGUGCGGUAGAGGGUAGUGGAAUUCCCGGUGUAGCAGUGAAAUGCGUAGAUAUUGGGAAGAACACCGGUGGCGAAGGCGGCGACCUGGUCCUUUACUGACGCUGAGGCGCGAAAGCGUGGGGAGCAAACAGG